AGCCUCCAACUCACAAAACACCCUCCUUUUACAACCCACCAAUUGGGAAAACCCCACUCAACAAUGCACCAUUUCAGAAACCCCCACUUUUUAACACCCCUAUUCAAAAAUCACCAUUUUACACUUCACCAUUUCAGAAACCCCCACCUUUUGUGCCACCAUUUUACAUGCCACCCUUUGAGAAACCACCACUUCAGAUGCCACCCUUGGAGAAACCACCACUUUUUGUGCCACCCCUUUCUGUGCCACCCUUUGAGAAACCACCACUUUUUGUGUCACCCCUUUCUGUGCCACCCUUUGAGAAACCACCACUUUUUGUGCCACCCCUUUCUGUGCCACCCUUUGAGAAACCACCACUUUUUGUGCCACCCUUUGAGAAACCACCGGUUUUUGUGGCACCCUUUAAGAUACCACCACUUCACAUUCCAGCAUAUUGCACAUGUUUCUGAAGUAGUGCCAUACAUGUCUAGAGGUGCAGUGAUUUGUGC
rnacentral:lncRNA from 1 species